CGGUCUGCUCAUAGACAUAUAGAAUGCCCUAAUCUUUUGUUUCCAUUCUCAAGUGCUCGCUCUGUGGUAACUUUCCAAUCUCCUCUCUCAAUCUUGAAGCAAAACUUCAGUUUCUUCUCUAAUUAUUACGGUUGAUUGAGUAAAUUAGUUUUCUUCUCAUCUUUUAAUUCAUAAUUCUACUGGUUGAUUACAGUAGUGUGUCAUCGUCAAAGAUUUAGUUUUUGAAGGAAUAAUGACAGAUAGAAGAUUAAGAUACGAGGAGACGAAAGAGGAUUCGAUGAAGAUUGGUUCAAAGAUAUUGUUCUCCAUAUUUUAUCAAUGAACAAGAAAAGAAAACCUUUAAGAUGCUAGCGCAGACAAAUCGCACAAAUCCUACAAAUUUGGCGUGCAAUUAGAACAUUAGUGGGAGAUCAGUCUGAUCUAAUUGCUCUGAUUAUUUUGAAGGUUGGGGAAUCGAAGGUUGAGAUUGGAAUUGAACCUGAUCGAAGUUUGAAUAUUGGAACUGAACAUCCACUUAUUUUAAUUACUUUUGCUACUGGUUUUCUAGUUUUUUCCUUUGAAUGUAUACAAAUUAAAGAACUGUAGCGUGUCAAGCUUUUGUUCCUUUUGAAGUUUUGUUACACUCACUGGUAAUGUCAUCAUGUAAGAAAACAAGGUUCAAUUAAUAAACUCUACUUUUCCAUUCCA